GGAUGCAAGGGUGAUCUGGCUAUGACAUCUAUCACUUCACUGAUGGCCAGGAUUGAUUCAGCUGAUCUGGCUGAGAAGAUGGGUGUCCCCCUUCUCCUCACUGCUCCAAGUACAUUCCUCUCAAAGGGUAUGGAGUAACCCUGCUCCCCUUCUAGAUCCUCCAAACAAGUUCUCAAGGUCAAAAGAAAAUCAUCUUAUGACUCAACAAUUCUCCUUCUAAGUGUCGCCAUCCUGGGUA
rnacentral:snRNA from 1 species